GGUAGAAAUAGAGGGCCCCCAAAAUCAAUUUUGCUUAGGGCCCCACUGAGGUUUUGGGCCUGCUCUGCUUGUGAUGUUAUGAGUGAGAGAGCUGCCUGUAGCAAGAUGGCCGCCAUGCGCUGACGUCGGUCUCCAUUGGUUAACAGCGUGAGUCAUCUAGUGUUUAUAUCUAUGGUAUCAGUCCCAGAAUCCACCGCGGUGUCUCACAUUUGGAUCUGCGCUUCGAGUGUCAAACCCAAGGUGAGUCCUGAGUUUGGACAGAAACGGCAUCAAAAAUGUCAUCUGACUCGGUGCAUGAAUAGAUUCAAUCACAACAGAAGCGUGUUUAUUCUGUCGGAGAGCGUAAAGUUCACCUGGGUUUAAAAAACGACCACAUAGAUCCGAGCCAGCUUAAGUUAGCUGAACAUGUUAGCAUGAGAGGUAAAGGUAGAGGAAAGGAGACAAGGAAACAGCAGCUUUUCCUUCUCCCUGAAAGUCAACAUUUAAUAAAACAGCGUUUCUUAUCGUACUUUAUAAUGAUGCAUGUGUUUCGUGUGCAGCUAUCUCUGCAUCUUUUAGUGUAUUCGCUGUUGGUGACCCCAGCUGAACUACGUUAGCAUUAACAACAUGGCUGUACUUCAGAGUUUCAUCAGUUCAUACAAUGAAUUAAAUCAGUUGUUUUAGACUUAAUUCAUGAAAAACAGUUAGAAUAUAACGUAACAUAAAGGUUAAAGUCCUACAGUAGUUCAUAAUUCAUCCCAAACUAAUGACACCAAGCGGAUUAUUUGUCCAGUUUUUAAAGUUUUAAGUCCUCUUUAUUUCAUAAAACUUAAGAAUUAACCGGCAUUUACACUCCUUUAGCUUAAAUUGUAAUAUUUAUUUUGUAAUCAGUGGUACUUUCUGAUAUUUGCCUCAGUCUUUUCUUCUUUUCGUAAUUUUGUAGAUGAGGACUACAUUUCCCAUGAGCACCAGUCACAGAUCUUAUCUGUAAUUCUUCAUUUCUUUAAGAUAACUUUUUACAGGAUGCAUAAUGAUCUGUGGGAACACCUGAUCAUUUACUCUAACAACAUCUAAGUAAAUCUCGCGAAAAUAUAGACAUGCAUACUCUUUAAGCCUUUCUUAGAGAAUCGGGCUUGAACUCAGGCACUAAAAUGUAAAGAAGUAGUCAAAUUUGAUAAAUUAUAAUCUAAUUUUACCGUGUAAUGAGAGGUCAUGAGAGGGUUGAGUGUAAGAGUAAGACUGUCUCAAAACAAGGGCCCGAUUGAUAUGGAGUUUUUGGGGCUGAUGCCGAUUAUUGGGGGGGGGGCGGGCAAUCCGAUUACCGAUUAAGGUCCUUUCACACUGGGACCGUUUUUUUUGUGCCAUUAUUUCAGACGUCAAUAUUUUUUAUCGAACAUGUAUCCUGUAAAUACAAGUGUUCACAUCAGCGAUGUUUUCCCGUCCUGCGAUAUUGCGGCAUUUAUUUUUUCGGAGCAGGGUGCAUUCUGUGUUUCCACUUCUGACCCAUCAGAUAACGUGUUGUUGCGACGUCUGAGUCACCUGUAUAUCCAACAUGGCCGACUGGCUGAUUGUUUACGUGUCGGAGAACAGAGUGCUUUUUGAUAAAAAACACAAACAUUACAAAGAUAACGACCUGAAGGACAACAUUUCAGAUUUCUCAUAUGACAAUAGUUUGUGUGCUUCAGAAUUGCAAAAGGUGUCUUUAAGCUGUGGUAUCAUGCUUACGUAAGCUAACAGUUGUUAUCGUUUCAUGUGCUUAUCAUCUCCUGAACAUAACUCAAUUUGAUGUCCGGGCUUCUCCAGGACUUCAGGUGGCAUUGUGGACGGCGGCCCCUCCUAUCAGAAGAACCUGUCUGAGGAGGUGACCAAACUGCAGAGGCUAUACGGAGGAGGGGACCUCGUCAAGUUCCCUGAGAUCAAAUUCGUUAUUUUCACGUUCUGUAUUCGCGUCGACCCUGGAGUGUUUUAUUUUAAGCAAGGUCCUCAUUUUAAAAAAAAAGGACAACCAAAAUAUUUGUAGAAUAAAUCAGUGAAAUUGUGUGAUAAAUGUUUAUUCCAAAAACAAAAUUGAAGAAAAAUGGUUGAAAGAAGAAUUCUUUAAAGAAUUAAAGGCAGAAAACUCAUUUGAAAUCCUUUGUAUUGCUAAAACAACUGAAAAAGAAUGAGGUAUUUUGUAUAAAGUGCAAACUUUAAACACUCAAUAUGCCAAUAUGACGAAUAAACGACCAUGAUGUCCUGAUUUGACUCCCGCCCACACAUUCCCUCAGAGACACAGUCCCAUCAUCUCGUCACUGUGUGUUUUUCCUCCUUCAGAUGGCACUUCACCGGUUAUACCACCUGUCCUCUCUGCUGCGCUCUGCCGUGAGCCUGACUCUGCGCAGGAACAUUGGCAUCUCCGCCGUCCUCUUCAACAAGAGCAAGGAUGAUUUUCCGAUACUGUUUGAAAUCAUGGUGAAGCAGCUCCCAGCUUCAAAGUUGUAAUCUCUGAGUGUCUGUUUUGAGUUUAAUCUGCAGUAUUGUGAUGUUUUCCAGCUGCACAGAUUAAAACGCAGUUAUAUCACUGAUAAUCCUCCUGUUCUUUCUCCUUUUUUUCAGAGCCCAAACUUGAAGAAGGCACCAAGUGAACGCUGUCCAUGUUGUAAAUCUCCUACAUGUCACCACCAAUAUGUUGUAUUUAAUAAAAGAGAGUGGAUUACAUUUCUCCUGCUGCCUUUGUUUUAUUUUAAGCAAGGUCCUCAUUCAGUGAGAUUGAUAGUUAAAAAGAAAAGGACAACCAAAAUAUUUGUAGAAUAAAUCAGUGAAAUUGUGUGAUAAAUGUUUAUUCCAAAAACAAAAUUGAAGAAAAAUGGUUGAAAGAAGAAUUUUCAGAAGCAUAAACGUGGUCGGAGUCAUGAAAGUUGCUGCAGUUUCAAGCCACUUUGAGUCGUACUGAUGUCUUUUCAUUAAAUCCAAAAGCAAACAAGACCAUCAGCAACUAUACUAUCCUAAUCCUAAUAUCUCAAGAAACUGAACUACAGUAGUAGUAGUAGUAGUAGUAGUAGUAGUCCUCCACCAGCAGAGGGAGUCGCUGUGAUUUCAGUCUUUGUCUCCAUCUAAAUAUAGUGACAGGCAGCAGAGCAGGAUGAUUUUCCGAUACUGUUUGAAAUCAUGGUGAAGCAGCUCCCAGCUUCAAAGUUGUAAUCUCUGAGUGUCUGUUUUGAGUUUAAUCUGCAGUAUUGUGAUGUUUUCCAGCUGCACAGAUUAAAACGCAGUUAUAUCACUGAUAAUCCUGUUCUUUCUCCUUUUUUUCAGAGCCCAAACUUGAAGAAGGCACCAAGUGAACGCUGUCCAUGUUGUAAAUCUCCUACAUGUCACCACCAAUAUGUUGUAUUUAAUAAAAGAGAGUGGAUUACAGUGUGGUUCGCUCUGUUUUUUAAUUAAUCUGCUCUGGUUUGAUCUUGAUUGAUAUAAUUCGAACAGGAGGGUCACCGAUUUUUGUGACUUUUAAAGCCACAAAAGUGGUUCUGGGGUAAGUUAAGUCCGUGGCUCAACUGAGAAAGGAAUGAAGUAUGAUGAGAGGAUCAGAGUUUCAGUUUAGAGGGAAAGCAAAAUGUAUUUUUUUUACAUUAGAAUAUUCAACUUUGUUAGCUAAAAUCACCACCACCAAGAGUUAUUCAUUUGAGUAUGAAGCCUUAAUUUUUCAGGGCUAGUUUGGGAAGUACUUUGUCGCUGUCUACUGGCAAAUUAAAUGUAUGACUAUUUAUGUCUCAUAAGGGGAGAUAAAAGGGAAAAGAAGCACAUUAUAUCCGUUUAUGCAUAAAAAAAAUCUUCAUGAAUGGAGGAUGAAUAAAAAGAAAAAUCUACUCUGCCGGAGAACAUGGGUUUUCUUUUAAGACUUCUCUAAGUCAAAAAUGAUCAAGAUUAAUAUUACUUGUUUGUUUGUUAAAUUGACGCUUUAGUUACUUUUGCUCAUCUUUAAUUUCAAUUUAAACCAUAUUUACAAAUUUAAUAUUCAUACUGCUUUAUAGUGAUAAUUGUUGGUGUCCUGCUUCCACCUGCAGUAGGUGGGCAGUAUCGGUAACGGGGGUGGGCCAAACUUUACCUGAGGGGACCAUGCUGAUAGCAAGUUUUUUUUCAGAGUGAAGCGAGAUAAAAUGAGAAAAUGCCCCUUUGGAGCAAGAUGCAAAAGAAAGAGUUUACGAAUGAGGUAAGCCAAAAAAAAAUUAAAUUAAUAAACAUUGAGUAGAGGUUGAUGAGUGGCGAGCUAGCACUAAUGGUAACGCUGAUGCUAAUGCAAAGAGACAGACAAAUUCCCAACUGGCAUCAUCCUGUGUGUCCCCAUGGCUCAGAGGAUAAGAAAACUGACUGGGACUCCUGAGGUUGUGGGUUCGAUCCUUACAUUAUUCAGCUUGAGGUGAAAUUUAAAGUCUAGUAUCUUGAAAGAAGAGUUAAAUAGGAAAAACACAGAUUUACCCUGUGUGUCCACAUGGCUCAGAUGAUAAGAAGACUGACUGAGCCGUCUGAGGUCGUGGGUUCAAUUCUUACCUUAUCCAGCUUGAGCUUAAAAUUUAAGGCCUCGUGUCUAGAAAUGGGAGUUAAAUAGGAAAAACCCGGAAUUACCCUGUGUGUCCAUAUGGCUCAGUGGAUAAGAAGACUGUUUGGGACUCCGGAGGUCAUGGGUUCGACCCUCACCUUACCCAAACCCAUUACAUUUUAAAGUUUAGUGUCUAGAAAGAUGAGUUAAAUAGGAAAAACCCAGAAUUACUCUGUGUGUUCACAUAGCCCAGAGGAUAAGAAGACUGACUGGGACUCCUGAGCUUGUGGGUUCG
rnacentral:lncRNA from 1 species